GGGCCCGUCGUCUAGCCUGGUUAGGACGCCGCCCUUACAAGGCGGAGGCCCGGGGUUCAAGUCCCCGCGGGCCCA
rnacentral:tRNA from 8 species